CCUACGGGAGGCAGCAGUGGGGAAUAUUGGGCGAUGGGCGCAAGCCUGACCCAGCGACGCCGCGUGAGGGAAGACGGUCUUCGGAUUGUAAACCUCUUUCAGCAGGGAAGACAAAAGGACGGUACCUGCAGAAGAAGCCACGGCUAACUACGUGCCAGCAGCCGCGGUAAUACGUAUGUGGCAAGCGUUAUCCGGAAUUACUGGGUGGAAAGGGUGUGUAGGCGGGUUUGCAAGUCAGAUGUGAAAAUUAUGGGCUCAACCCAUAACCUGCGUCUGAAACUACAGAUCUUGAGAGUGGGAGAGGUAAACGGAAUUCCCGGUGUAGCGGUGAAAUGCAUAGAUAUCACGCAGAACCCCGAUUGCGAAGGCAGCAUGCCGGCUUCCGACUGACGCUGAAGCACGAAAGCGUGGGGAUCGAACAGGAUUAGAUACCCGAGUAGUC
rnacentral:rRNA from 1 species